AUUGAACGCUGGCGGCAGGCCUAACACAUGCAAGUCGAGCGGAGCGGCGGACGGGAGAGUCAUGCCUAGGAAUCUGCCUGGUAGUGGGGGAUAACGUCCGGAAACGGGCGCUAAUACCGCAUACUAUCAGAUGAGCCUAGGUCGGAGUAGCUAGUUGGUGGGGUAAAGGCCUACCAAGGCGACGAUCCGUAACUGGCCUGAGAGGAUGAUCAGUCACACUGGCACUGAGACACGGUCCAGACUCCUGCGGGAGGCAGCAGUAGGGAAUAUGAGACAAUGGGCGAAAGCCUGAUCCAGCCAUGCCGCGUGUGUGAAGAAGGUCUUCGGAUUGUAAAGCACGUUUAGUUGGGAUGCGUUACCAACAGAAUAAGCACCGGCUAACUUCGUGCCAGCAGCCGCGGUAAUUC
rnacentral:rRNA from 1 species